GGGGAUUUAGCUCAGCGGUAGAGCGCUUGCCUAGCAAGCGAAAGGCCCUGGGUUCGGACCCCAGCUCCG
rnacentral:tRNA from 1 species